rnacentral:rRNA from 1 species
GACGAACGCUGGCGGCGUGCCUAAUACAUGCAAGUCGAACGCAGUGGGGACGGGUGAGUAACACGUGGGUAACCUCCCAUCAGAGGGGAUAACCCUUGGAAACAGGUGCUAAACCGAUAGUGAUGGAUGUACCCGCGGUGCAUUAGCUAGUUGGUGAGGUAACGGCGCACCACUGCCACGAUGCAUAGCCGACCUGAGCGGGUGAUCGGCCACACUGGUAGUGAGACACGGCCCAGACUCCUACGGGAGGCAGCAGUAGGGAAUCGUCGGCAAUUGACGCAAGUCUGACCGAGCAACGCCGCGUGAGGGAAGAAGGUUUUCGGAUCGUAAAACUCUGUUGUUAGAGAAGCGGUAUCUAACCAGAAAGCCACGGCUAACUACGUGCCAGCAGCCGCGGUAAUAC